UACGAAGGUGGCAAGCGUUACUCGGAAUUACUGGGCGUAAAGCGUGCGUAGGUGGUUUGUUAAGUCUGUUGUGAAAGCCCCGGGCUCAACCUGGGAAUGGCAAUGGAUACUGGCAAGCUAGAGUGCGGUAGAGGGUAGUGGAAUUCCCGGUGUAGCGGUGAAAUGCGUAGAGAUCGGGAGGAACACCAGUGGCGAAGGCGGCUACCUGGACCAGCACUGACACUGAGGCACGAAAGCGUGGGGAGCAAACAGG
rnacentral:rRNA from 1 species